AUUGAACGCUGGCGGAAUGCUUUACACAUGCAAGUCGAACGGCAGCACGGGGCAACCUGGUGGCGAGUGGCGAACGGGUGAGUAAUACAUCGGAACGUGCCCAAUCGUGGGGGAUAACGUAGCGAAAGUUACGCUAAUACCGCAUACGAUCUACGGAUGAAAGCGGGGGAUCGCAAGACCUCGCGCGAGUGGAGCGGCCGAUGUCAGAUUAGGUAGUUGGUGGGGUAAAGGCUCACCAAGCCAACGAUCUGUAGCUGGUCUGAGAGGACGACCAGCCACACUGGAACUGAGACACGGUCCAGACUCCUACGGGAGGCAGCAGUGGGGAAUUUUGGACAAUGGGCGCAAGCCUGAUCCAGCCAUUCCGCGUGCAGGAUGAAGGCCUUCGGUUGUAACUGCUUUGUACGGAACGAAACGGCGAGCUCUAAUACAGUUUGCUAAUGACGGUACCGUAAGAAUAAGCACCGGCUAACUACGUAGCCAGCAGCCGCGGUAAACG
rnacentral:rRNA from 1 species